rnacentral:tRNA from 1 species
GCCAGCAUGGCAUAGUGGUUUGAGUGUUGGAUUAUGACUCUGGAGACUACGGUUCAAUUCCCAGCUCAGCCA